GACGAACGCUGGCGGCGUGCUUAACACAUGCAAGUCGAACGAUGAAGCCCUUCGGGGUGGAUUAGUGGCGAACGGGUGAGUAACACGUGGGCAAUCUGCCCUGCACUCUGGGACAAGCCCUGGAAACGGGGUCUAAUACCGGAUACGAGCUUCCUCCGCAUGGUGGAAGUUGGAAAGCUCCGGCGGUGCAGGAUGAGCCCGCGGCCUAUCAGCUUGUUGGUGAGGUAACGGCUCACCAAGGCGACGACGGGUAGCCGGCCUGGGAGGGCGACCGGCCAAACUGGGACUGAGACACGGCCCAGACUCCUACGGGAGGCAGCAGUGGGGAAUAUUGCACAAUGGGCGAAAGCCUGAUGCAGCGACGCCGCGUGAGGGAUGACGGCCUUCGGGUUGUAAACCUCUUUCAGCAGGGAAGAAGCGAAAGUGACGGUACCUGCAGAAGAAGCGCCGGCUAACUACGUGCCAGCAGCCGCCGUAAUAC
rnacentral:rRNA from 1 species